rnacentral:rRNA from 1 species
AGCAGCCGCGGUAAUUCCAGCUCCAAUAGCGUAUAUUAAAGUUGUUGCAGUUAAAAAGCUCGUAGUUGAAUUUCGGGGUUAGUAGGUUGGUCAUGCCUCUGGUAUGUACUGGUCUCACUGAUUCCUCCUUCCUGACGAACCUUAAUGCCAUUAAUUUGGUGUUUUGGGGAAUUUGGACUGUUACUUUGAAAAAUUAGAGUGUUUAAAGCAAGCUAACGCUUGAAUACAUUAGCAUGGAAUAAUGAAAUAGGACGUUCGAUCCUAUUUUGUUGGUUUCUAGGAUUGACGUAAUGAUUAAUAGGGAUAGUUGGGGGCAUUAGUAUUCAACUGUCAGAGGUGAAAUUCUUGGAUUUAUUGAAGACUAACUACUGCGAAAGCAUUUGCCAAGGAUGUUUUCAUUAAUCAAGAACGAAAGUUAGGGGAUCGAAGACGAUCAGAUACCGUCGUAGU